GAGAGGGAAACAACCCAGACCAGCAGCUAAGGUGCCUAAAUAACGCUCAGUGGAAAGGAUGUGGGAUUACACAGACAGUGAGGAUGUUGGCUUAGAAGCAGCCACCAUUUAAAAAAUGCGUAAUAGCUUACUCAUCGAGUGAUCCUGCGCCGAAAAUGAUUGGCGAUCAAGCGUUAUACCGAAGCUCUGGACUUUGCCGCAAGGCAGAGUGGUAGAAGAGCGUUGCAUGCGCGUCGAAGGGCGAUGGCGACUGACCCUGGAGCACAUGCAAGUGAGUAUGCAGACAUGAGUAACGUUAAGCCGGGUGAAAUCCCCGGCCGCCGUAAACCCGAGGUUUCCAGGGCAACGUGUUUCGUCCCUGGGUUAGCCGGGACCUAAGCCGAGGCCGAGAGGCGUAGGCGAUGGACAUCAGGUUAAUAAUCCUGAGCUCGCAACCCUUAAACUGGGGGGACGCAUGAGAAAAGAUGACUAGGUUAUUGAAUUCCGAGUUGAGUCCACGGACUCAGCGCAUCAUUGGAUCGAGUGCCAAGAAAAGCCCCAGCGUAUGCUAAGCGACCCGUACCGCAAACCGACACAGGUGGGUGGGUAGAAUAUACCAAGGCGUAAGAGUGAAACCUGGUUAAGGAACUCGGCAAAUUAGCCCCGUAACUUCGGAAGAAGGGGUGCCUGCAGCGAUGCAGGCCGCAGAGAAAUGGCCCAACCGACUGUUUAUCAAAAACACAGCACUCUGCAAAGACGCAAGUCGAAGUAUAGGGUGUGACACGUGACCAAUGCCGAAAGAUUAAGGCAAGGGGUUAGCCGCAAGGCGAAGCUCUAAACCCAAGUCCCGGUGAAUGUCGGCCGUAACUAUAACGGUCCUAAGGUAGCGAAAUUCCUUGUCGGGUAAGUUCCGACCUGCACGAAUCGUGAAACGAGUUGGGCACUGUCUCAACCAGGCGCUCAGUGAAAUUGUAGUGGCGGUGAAGAUGCCGCCUACCCGCAGAAGGACGGAAAGACCCUAUAGACCUUAACUGUAAGCUGUCAUUGUUUCUUCGGUUUUAAUGCUCAGAGUAAGUGGGAGACGCAGAAGAUGCCCUUUAGGGGGCGUCCGAGUCAUCAAUGAGACACCACCCUUUGAAACUGGAGGAUCUAACCCUGAGCCGUGAAUCCGGCCAGAGGACCGUGUCAGCCGGUCAGUUUUACUGGGGCGGUAUCCUCCCAAAGAGUAACGGAGGAGCGCGA
rnacentral:rRNA from 1 species